rnacentral:rRNA from 1 species
UACGGAGGGUGCAAGCGUUGUCCGGAAUCACUGGGCGUAAAGGGCGCGUAGGCGGCUAAUGAAGGCUGUGGUGAAAGUCCGGGGCUCAACCUCGGAUCGGCCGUGGCGACUCGUGGGCUGGAGCACUGUAGAGGCGGGUGGAAUUCCGGGUGUAGCGGUGGAAUGCGUAGAGAUCCGGAAGAACACCAGUGGCGAAGGCGGCCCGCUGGGCAGUGGCUGACGCUGAGGCGCGACAGCGUGGGGAGCAAACAGG